GACGAACCGUACGAACGUUAUUCGGAAUCACUGGGCUUAAAGGGUGCGUAGGCGGCGCUGAAAGUUGGGUGUGAAAUCCCUCGCUUAACCGAGGAACUGCGCCCAAAACUACAGUGCUUGAGGGAGAUAGAGGUGAGCGGAACUUAGGGUGGAGCGGUGAAAUGCGUUGAUAUCCUAAGGAACGCCAGGGGCGAAAGCGGCUCACUGGGUCUCUUCUGACGCUGAGGCACGAAAGCUAGGGUAGCGAACGGG
rnacentral:rRNA from 1 species